rnacentral:rRNA from 1 species
ACGAAGGUGGCAAGCGUUGUUCGGAUUUACUGGGCGUAAAGCGUGCGUAGGUGGUUCGUUAAGUCUGAUGUGAAAGCCCUGGGCUCAACCUGGGAAUGGCAUUGGAAACUGGCGACCUAGAGUGCGGUAGAGGGUAGUGGAAUUCCCGGUGUAGUGGUGAAAUGCGUAGAUAUCGGGAGGAAUACCAGUGGCGAAGGCGGCUGCCUGGCCUGUUCUUGACGCUGAGGCGCGAAAGCUGGGGGAGCAAACGGGA